ACACUCAAUGUUUCUCUUCAGAUCGUAUAAAUCUUUCCGCCUUUUACUAAAGAUUUCCGUGGGGAGGAACACAAUGAGUAUAAAACAAAUUUUUUGAUGCCCUACUUAACUGCGGGGCU
ensembl:snRNA U5 U5 spliceosomal RNA